GCUGACGAGUGGCGGACGGGUGAGUAAUGUCUGGGAAACUGCCUGAUGGAGGGGGAUAACUACUGGAAACGGUAGCUAAUACCGCAUAACGUCGCAAGACCAAAGAGGGGGACCUUCGGGCCUCUUGCCAUCGGAUGUGCCCAGAUGGGAUUAGCUUGUUGGUGGGGUAACGGCUCACCAAGGCGACGAUCCCUAGCUGGUCUGAGAGGAUGACCAGCCACACUGGAACUGAGACACGGUCCAGACUCCUACGGGAGGCAGCAGUGGGGAAUAUUGCACAAUGGGCGCAAGCCUGAUGCAGCCAUGCCGCGUGUAUGAAGAAGGCCUUCGGGUUGUAAAGUACUUUCAGCGGGGAGGAAGGGAGUAAAGUUAAUACCUUUGCUCAUUGACGUUACCCGCAGAAGAAGCACCGGCUAACUCCGUGCCAGCAGCCGCGGUAAUACGGAGGGUGCAAGCGUUAAUCGGAAUUACUGGGCGUAAAGCGCACGCAGGCGGUUUGUUAAGUCAGAUGUGAAAUCCCCGGGCUCAACCUGGGAACUGCAUCUGAUACUGGCAAGCUUGAGUCUCGUAGAGGGGGGUAGAAUUCCAGGUGUAGCGGUGAAAUGCGUAGAGAUCUGGAGGAAUACCGGUGGCGAAGGCGGCCCCCUGGACGAAGACUGACGCUCAGGUGCGAAAGCGUGGGGAGCAAACAGGAUUAGAUACCCUGGUAGUCCACGCCGUAAACGAUGUCGACUUGGAGGUUGUGCCCUUGAGGCGUGGCUUCCGGAGCUAACGCGUUAAGUCGACCGCCUGGGGAGUACGGCCGCAAGGUUAAAACUCAAAUGAAUUGACGGGGGCCCGCACAAGCGGUGGAGCAUGUGGUUUAAUUCGAUGCAACGCGAAGAACCUUACCUGGUCUUGACAUCCACAGAACUUUCCAGAGAUGGAUUGGUGCCUUCGGGAACUGUGAGACAGGUGCUGCAUGGCUGUCGUCAGCUCGUGUUGUGAAAUGUUGGGUUAAGUCCCGCAACGAGCGCAACCCUUAUCCUUUGUUGCCAGCGGUCCGGCCGGGAACUCAAAGGAGACUGCCAGUGAUAAACUGGAGGAAGGUGGGGAUGACGUCAAGUCAUCAUGGCCCUUACGACCAGGGCUACACACGUGCUACAAUGGCGCAUACAAAGAGAAGCGACCUCGCGAGAGCAAGCGGACCUCAUAAAGUGCGUCGUAGUCCGGAUUGGAGUCUGCAACUCGACUCCAUGAAGUCGGAAUCGCUAGUAAUCGUGGAUCAGAAUGCCACGGUGAAUACGUUCCCGGGCCUUGUACACACCGCCCGUCACACCAUGGGAGUGGGUUGCAAAAGAAGUAGGUAGCUUAACCUUCGGGAGGGCGCUUACCACUUUGUGAUUCAUGACUGGGGUGAAGUCGUAACAAGGUAACCGUAGGGGAACCUGCGGUUGGAUCACCUCCUUACCUUAAAGAA
rnacentral:rRNA from 1 species